rnacentral:rRNA from 1 species
GGGGGGGGGGGGGGGGGGGGCGGGGGGGGGGGGGGCGGGCGGACGGGUGGGGAGCUUGCGGCGCUGACGUUGGCGGCGGGCGGGUGAGUAACACGUGGAUCACCUACCUAUAAGGCUGGGAUAACUUCGGGAACCCGGAGCUAAUACCGGAUAAUAUCUUGAACCGCAUGGUUCAAUAGUGAAAGACGGUUUUGCUGUCACUUAUAGCUGGAUCCGCGCCGCCUUAGCUAGUUGGUAAGGUAACGGCUUACCAAGGCAACGAUGCGUAGCCGACCCGAGAGGGGGAUCGGCCACACUGGAACUGAGACACGGUCCAGACUCCUACGGGAGGCAGCAGUAGGGAAUCGUCCGCAAAGGGCGAAAGCCUGACGGAGCAACGCCGCGUGAGUGAUGAAGGUCUUCGGAUCGUAAAACUCUGUUAUUAGGGAAGAACAAAUGUGUAAGUAACUAUGCACGUCUUGACGGUACCUAAUCAGAAAGCCACGGCUAACUACGUG